UGCCCAAGAGACUGGGAUAACACCUGGAAACAGAUGCUAAUACCGGAUAACAACACUAGACGCAUGUCUAGAGUUUAAAAGAUGGUUCUGCUAUCACUCUUGGAUGGACCUGCGGUGCAUUAGCUAGUUGGUAAGGUAACGGCUUACCAAGGCAAUGAUGCAUAGCCGAGUUGAGAGACUGAUCGGCCACAUUGGGACUGAGACACGGCCCAAACUCCUACGGGAGGCAGCAG
rnacentral:rRNA from 1 species